UUUUUUUUUUUUUUUUUUUUUUAAGAGAGAGAGUCUUGCUCUGUCACCCAGGCUGGAGUGCAGUGGUGCCAUAUAGCUCACUGCAGCCUUGAAAUCCUGGACUCAAGGAAUCCUCCCACCUCAGCCUACCAAGUAGCUGGGAUUACAGCUAUGCACCAUCACACCUGGCUAAUUAUUAUUUUUCAUUUUUUUAAGUUUUUCGGUAGAGACGGAGCCUUACUUUGUUGCUUGCCUGUGAAGCAGACUGAACCCAACCCACAGUGGGGCACCAGGCUGGUCUCAAGUGAUCCUCCCUCCCCGGCCUCCCAGAGUACUGGGAUUAUAGGUAUAAGCCACUACCACACUUGGCCUUUUUUUUUCUUUCAAUUUUAGGAAAAAUCUCAUCUGGAAUAUCCCACCUGAGAGACUUCAGGAGUAGAAAUGAACAUACUUGAGUAAUAAAUCAAAACCUCAGGAAAUGUAAACUUUUGAGAAUGGAAUUCAAUGAGCACAGAUCUACAACACCAGCAAGCAUAGGUAAAGGAAAGCCAUUUCCCUGUGGCAAAUUGAAUUAAUGAUCAAGAUUCUCUACCUGUAUCUAUACCUUCUGCCAUGUGACUUUGCCGUUCCUUCCACUAGAGGCAGAAUAUGUUUCCUACUGGACUGGGGGUCAUGCAAGCGGCUCUAGCUAACGGAGCAUGGGCAGAAACGAGGUGCAUCCGCUCUAGACCUUAGGAGGCAUUGCACGUUUCCGCUCAUGCAUGUUUCUGCUAGGCACUCUUGGAAUAAAUUCUGCCGCUGCCAUGAGGAGAACAUGCUGUAUGGAUCCGAGGGGGAUGAGAGACGUGUGGAGCAGUCUGAACCCAGCCCACAGGGGGGCACCAAGCAGAGCUGAGCCCAGCCUGGACCAGCAGACCCUAAAUGACUCCCAGACACAAGAGCAAAAAUAAUUAUUUUGUUUGUUUGCUUGUCUGUUUGUUUGUUGAGACAGAGUUGCACUCUUGUUGUCCAGGCUGGAGUGCAGUGGCGCGAUCUCUGCUCACUGCAAUCUCUACCUCCCGGGUUUAAGCAAUUCUUGUGCCUCAGCCUCCUGGGUAUCUGGGAUUACAGACGCGCACCACCAUGCCUGGCUAAUUUUGUAUUUUUAUUAGAGACGGGGUUUUCUCCAUGUUGGUCAGGCUGAUCUUGAACUCCCAACCUCAGGUGAUCCGCCCGCCUCGGCCUCCCAAAGUGCUGGGAUUACAGGCAUGAGCCACCACACCCGGCCAAAAGAAUUUCUUAAUAACUCCUACAACAUUCCCCACUGUGGGGAUGCCACUAACUGCUGUUAGGGGGUUCUGGGAGACGACUCCUUCUGGCUACUUCCUGCUGAAAAGGGGUGUCCAAUGGGGAGCAGCAGCUAGGCUCCUCCUGGGGUCGAUCUGGACCUCAAGAGGAGAGGAUUGCCCCACUCACAGAAGCAAUCAAACUCCAAAUGGUUCUGUAAACUGAGCCACACAUGGACACACCAUUCUUCCAAAUUACGCUCUUAAAUCACUCAAGGGAGGAUCUCCUUACAGAGCAGCCAAAAUCAAUGAAGCUAAAGAUUUACGAGGGAGUCAAGCUAAAAAAAAAAAAUGAAGCAAAUGUAUAAUGAGUUUUAAGCUCAUAUUAGUUUAUGUAUAUGAGUACUAACUUUGCAUAAUAAAAUGCCUCAGAGCUACAAUUUUAAAAAAUGAUUUAGCACAAGCUAAAAAAAAAAAAAAAGUGAUUACUUGGGGAGAAAUGAGAACAGUCAGCUUUUGAUGAAGAUCUAUGUGGCCACUGCUUCACAAAGAUAGAAUAAAAGCAUCAGGCAUUAGCCCCAAAACCUCAAAGUGCAAUCAAGAAAGUAAAUGUAGGCUGGGCACGGUGACGCACACCUGUAAUCCCAGCACUUUGG
ensembl:lncRNA